GUUCCUUUUACUAAGCUUACAGAAGUGCUAACAAGGUUUGGUUAAAGUUCAAAAGGAUGUGGUGAUUACAGACACGAACCUAUUCCUCCACAUUCGACUGCCAAGGCUUUUGCGUGUAUUUAAGCCAAGGAGAUAGCGAUGCUGAUGCAUCUUUUAUAAUGAUAUAAUUGUAGGGGGAUAAAUUAUAUUAUCCCCCUACAAUCAUCUCCUCUUUUCUCUUUAACCUUCGACCCUAAUUUCAGAUGUUUAUCUGUUUCAAUCGAAUCAGCUUAAUGAAAAACAACAAUCUGGGGCUGUGCUGUAAUUGGGGAUUUCGUCAAAGUCCAUAUUUCAUAUCUCAUACACCGAGAAACAAUAAUUGGGGAUUUUUGGAGCUGUGCUGUAAUUGGGGAUUUUUAAAUUUGAUUCAAAUCAGUUGAAAUGUCAUUAAUCAGUAGAGUUUUUUAUAUAUCGAACUCUUUAAUCUUCUUUUCGUGAAUUUCCGGCAAUCAAAACCGUUGUGUUCAUGGGAAACCCAGAUGGAUUUGGAGUUUAAGCUUCCCCGUGAUCUAGCACGGGACAAUUAGAGGUUGAAUUGGAGUUGUGAUCGUUGAGCAGUUUUCAUGGAUUUGCAUCCAAUUAUAGUCACCACUGAGUGCAUGAAAGAAGUUAAGUGUUCAUGGACCGCCGAAGCUCCCACAGACUGUUUCGAGGGCAAGAUUGAGACUAUUCUUAGUCGUCAGAACCAGCUAGCUUGCAAUGAGUUCAAUUUGAGAGUUGUUAGUCAGGUGGGUGUCCCUUGGAGCAUCAAUACGCAUCCCAAGUUUCUGAUUCUGUCCCUAGGUAUCAUAGAAAAAAAAUUAAUUGCACAACAAAUGAGGUAUUCAGCUCAAGCUUCGGCGACAAGAGGCAUUAAACAAGUAAACAUAUGCAAGCAACAGUGACAUGAUGGACAGUCCAGUGAUGCCAAACUCCCAUGUUCAUUCCAGCGUCACAAUCUAUUGUUAAGAAGAGACAUCGAUUAUACUGGCAUAUGACAUAGAGAUACCAAUACGUGCGAAGACUAAAGUUGGAUGGAGUCCAUCAACUUAAGAAGAAAUAAUGGCGGCAUCUGCGAUAGGCUCUUUCUUAUGGAUGGGGGUGAAUGUACUGAAGCCUAAGGAACAUGAGACUUGAAAGCGGAUCCAUAUAAUAAGGAGCUUGCAGAUAGCUUACUAAAGCUAAAAAGGGUUCAAGUCGCUGACUCAAUUCUAACUCAAGUGGCGGGUAUAUAUAUUGAGAUCUAUGUACGGGGAUAAUUCUUCUUUUUCUCUUUUUUGUUUUCGUUUUUGUGAUUUUAUUUUCUUCGCUGCUAAUGCAACGGUUGUGAGUAAUCAUAACAUAUUACUUACAUGUUGUGCAAAUGCUGCUUCUAUAUAUUGGUUAACUGGAUGGUUGUUUUGUAAAUGCUUUUGACCGAGUAUCCGUAACUAUAAGCAUAACCUCAUGUUUUGUAAAUGCAUUGGGCGGGGC